rnacentral:lncRNA from 1 species
CCAACUCUCUCACUCCCAUCUGAGAGGUCCAUACGAGAGACAUGAAAAAAAAUAUUGUGAUGAUAAAAUUAAAAGAGAUAAAAAAAAUAGAAGAUAUAAAAGGACAAAUUAAUAAUUAUAAUGAGAAAAGGAAAGUAAUGCAGCACUAUCACUAUAAGAAGUUGUACCAAAGAUAAAUUUCAGGACAUUAGCUAUAUUUAUUAUCCAACAACUUUCAAAUAAAACAUAACAUGUAUCAAGAAGAAAGAUGCUAGAUCACAGUUCAGAGGAAACCACCAUCAAGAUAAACAAAGCCAUCUACAAAAAUAAACAAUUUUUUUUCAAAAAACACCAAAACAGCUUCCCUACAAAAAUAAUUUAAAAAUAACUCAAAC